CUGUCCAUCCGCCCGGCUCCUACCCUAAAAAAAUUCCCCUCGGUUCCUCCUCUCAAAAAAGAAAAAAAAAGAGCCCGGUUCCUAUCCUAAUCAGGCGUGGUGAUGUGCGGUCUCGACGGCGAGUGGCCUGCGGCGUGGGGAGCGGCGAUUGAUCCUAGUGGCUAGGUAAACGGCGGGGGGCGCGACUGCAUGGUGGCCGGCGGGUAGGCUGGGCGCCUUGGGGAGAGGCGGCUGACCUUGGUUGGGGCGUGACGGCGUGGUGGUCGACGAGGAGGCUCGACGGCAUGCCUAAAGUUAACUGUGCCGGUGGGCGGUGGCCAUACCCUCACCUCCUUCCCUCCCUACACCUGCAUAAAGUUGAAUUGGAUCCAGAGUCUCCCACUACUGCCAAUCACCAUGUCCUCGACGGCCGGCUCGGGCGCAGGGAUGCAGGUCAUGGUCGGCGAGUCGUAUGUCCAGAAGCUAUCCAGCGUCCGCCUCCAAUUCCACCCAGGCUAGCUAAUUUGUUUGUUCAGAAGCACAAAAAUACCAAGGUGCAUUCUGGAUACAGAAUCUAGACUUUGCUCUCUUCUGUUAUAUACAAGAAGCAGCUAGUACUUAAUUAGUAAUUUGGUAGUAGAAAGAUCGAUCUGCUAUUCCUGGACAUCAAGUAGCUUUAACAUAUGCUACAUACGAUUUAUGCAUUGAUGAAGGUACAUUGCGUGCAAAUUGAUUUGAGAAAUUGUUGUCGAGAUAGGUAAUUGAAUACUGUACUUGGGAACAAUUUCCCUUGAAGAUGUCUUGAGCUUUACUCCGGGUGCUCAAGUGAAACAAUUACUUCUCACCGAAGAUUGUUCCUUGGAUUUCUAAAUACGAAAGAGUGAUGCUCAAUGAGAUUAGGUCGUGCUAACACAUCAACAAUCAAUGCUGACAAGCCUCGACUAUAUAUUGCAGAAAUUAAGCACCUUGUUGAGCAAUUCGGAAAUGCAGUGUCAUUUGGAUAUGUUCAUAGUCAAUGUCCACUGAAAAGUGAGAAGAUUUCAGAGAACUCGUGAAACACAAUGGCUAGCGAGAUCCAUCUUUCAUUAGCUACAACUGAACCACCGUCAAAAGGUUGAACUGUUCUUCAUAUCUUUUCAUUUCUUUUAGCACCACCUCUCCCCAUACCGUCUACUUUCAGCUUCCCAGUUAACGAAUUAUAGGCCAAAUAGAUAUACCAAUCAUUUUGUAUUAAUAUAUUAUUCUUCCCUGCUACCUAUAGUGCCAUAAUCAUCUAUGGCUGAAGAUACUAAGAAGAAGAACCAAUCACUAGAAGCAUCCCCUAAUAUAUACGGCAGCACAAUCUUAUAAACCACAUCUUUCAGUUCUGCCUCGUCAAUUUCAUAGUGCAGUUGCUAUGCAAGCUUGGUUUUUAUCAUUUAUAGUGAGCCUCCAUUUCAAAGUUCUCUUCUGUUGGGAUCAUCAUGAAAUCUCAUUUUGUACUAUUUUUAAUA